CUUUACAUGUGGUAGCAGAUGAUUUAGUCUGAUGUUUAAAGCUGCUUUGUGUGUCGUAUAAUAUAAAUCAGAAUUAUUUGCUCGAUAAAGAAUUAGUAUUAUUCCAUUAAUUAAUUAAAUCCAAGGUGCCAAGUUGAGAAACGAUUGAUAACGGGAAGAGGGUGCAUAGUAAACAAUUAUGAAUACGGAUUUUAGUGCCAGAUUGUGAACCAUUAGAGGAAAUAGAAUUUAAAGUGUAUGAGGGUCAACCACCAGUUCUUCAUUAUUAUAUAUACAACGGUGCAAUAUGUGUAAUUUUUUGUCAGUAUUUUUAUCGAUUUCUCCAUUACGUAUGCCCACGCACCCUACUUCUGGCUCUGACUGAAAUUCGGGUGCAAAGGACAGUUUUGUUCAUGCUGUGAAUAGAGUUAUUCACAAACGUAUGUAAUUAUUGAGGCUUACGUGACAAUUUCAACGUUGUUACUGCUUGCAAAUGAUGAACGAAGAGUCAAUUUUGUCUCAGAAUGGCGCCUACGAUCAGUUGUGCUGUGUAAAAAUUGCACAUGUAUACAUUCGGCAAAUUUCUUUAGAAACGAUUGAAAUGUGAUCAUUGUUGCAAAGAGCGAAAUUUACUGUUGCAACUGCAUGCCUUGUUUCAUAAGUCUAUGUACGGAAGUUCACCCACCACUGGAUUUCAAACAAUGCUGUGAACGGCGAUUGAAGACAUGGGCAGUGCUAAGUCAAACACAGUGGAAGAGGGCGAGGGAUCUGUCAUGCAAUGAUAUGUGGCUGCCAAAGAAAGUUAAGUGCAGAAAAAUGCUGCUCUUCUCUGGUGCAUGUUUUUGGAAGUGGCAACCCUGCAGGCUUGCCUAGGCGCAAUAUCUUUGACCUUGGUCUAUAAGCUGCUUCUAGUCCAAGCGGCACAUCGAUGCAACUGUUCAGUCGUGAGUUGUGCUGUUAAUAAUUUAACACCUGUUUGUGUGUCUCAUCACGGAAAUGGAACCACGUAAUAUUGUGCAACGGUAUGCCAUUUCUUUUUGCGUUAAAUUGGGUGAAAAUGCGACUACUUACAGUAAGCUUCAGAAGGCUUUGUCAUGACCUCAAAGGGAUCACCCAACCAAAAAAACUCGCAUGUCAAAGUCAAAAUUGAAAUGCAUGCUUAUGUGCUUCUUUUAUUCCAACGGAACUGUUCAUAAAGAGUGAGUGCUUCCUGGACAAACAGUUAACCAAUAUUACUACAAAGAAAUUUUAGAAAGACGUCGUAAAAGAGUUCCUCAUGUCCAUGUCAACAUUGCUGAUAAUUGCAUUCUGCAUCACAAUAAUGCGCUAUCCCAUACUGCUCUGUCAGUGCAGCAAUUUUUAACCUCCAAACAAAUUUCAGUACUACCACAGCCACCUUAUUCACCAGAUAUCGCUCCAUGCUACUUUUCUCUAUUUCUAAGAGUCAAAACAGCAGUCAAGGGACACCAUUUUCAAACAACACAAGAUUUCCAAAAACCUGUGAUAACGGUGUUGGAGGAUAUCACAGAAGAUGAGUUCCAGAAAUGUUACAUCAAUGUCAGAAGUGCUGGAAAAAGUGUGUGCAAUCAGAAGGGAGCUACUUUAGAGAAGACAACACUAAACUUGACUAAAACAGUAAGCAACAAUUUUUUUUUUUUUUUUUGCCCCCACAUCAGUCUCAUUACUUUGUCACACAUCGUAUUUGAAGAUUCAUGUCCAUAAUUACUAAGAAUGAAAGUUGUUUCAAUAGACAAAAUUAGUUAUGAAAAACAAAUAUAAAUGACCACAAUGCUGACAACGUUUUGUUUCCUGUGCUUCACUUUGGCAAUUCAAUUCCGAUCUCUCAGUAACAGUUGGAGUGUGAUGUGCAUUGUUUCAUGACAGAUUAAAGAUGACAAAAUGGCAGUAUAUGCUCACUGCUGCAUUGCAAGAAAAGUAAAUUUUUUAGCAUGUGAUACAGGACUUGCAAUUCAUAAGAGACCUUUGAAUUUACUUGCAAUAAUUAUGCAUAAAAAUCAACAAAUACAGCUUUUUUACUUAUAAUAUGUAAUGCAGUCAGAUUCUGAUGCUCAUUGCACCAUUCGUAACACUAAGUUAUGCACAUGUCAUGGAGCAACAUCCAAAUUCAAGUAAACAUAAAAAACCAGAAAUUGCUGUUGUGUCAUCCAAAAGCAUAACUUCAUUUUUCUAGCCAAAUUCAGCAACAGACUGAAUUGCAGUUGGCUGGGAUUGAAAGCGCCUGUGCUUACCAUAUGGCUAAAGAAAAUGAUAGUUUUUGCUCAAAUGACACUGCUUUGAAUAGAAAUUCUCUCUGUUACACAAAGACUGAAGCCAUUGUUUCGAACAUAUCUACCCCUCCUUGUGAAAUGUUACAAAAAGAGUGACAAGAAGUCAGUUAUGUUAUAGUGUUAGAUGCUUCCAAUCAUAGAGGGAGGGAGAGAGAGAGAUUUUUCUGUUACGAUAGGUACUUUUUACCAUUACAUGGUGUCCAUGUCAGAAUUUUUGAUCCUGAUGGACGUUCUGGCAAAACAGCAGAUACUGUUACCAACUACCUGACUGAUGUGCUUGGGGAAAAAAAAAAAAAACUAAUGCUUUGUGGUAAUAAUACCAAUAGUUCUUGGUUGGAGCAGCAUGUAACAGAACAAGAAAUAUUUUUCACAAACUUAAAAUGGUAUAGAAUUUGUGAAUUUUUUGGGGUUUAAUGCGAUAUAGCGCACAACACGAUUAAGACUGCUGCAGAUUGUAUACCUAUUGAUGUACAAAUGGUUAUUCACAAAAUUUACCGUCAUUUUCACACAAACACCCCAUAGAACAGGGCUGGCCACACAGUGUCUAACUUAACGUGUGUACAAUGUGAAGGCCAAGGUCGAGCCUGCAACUUGACUUUAAUAGGAAAUACCCAGAACAGCAUGACAUUUCAUUUAGUAUUGUGGUGCUGCAUUUUGCAGUCGGUACAACUCUCAGACUUUGGCAGAAUCAUGGUGUCAGCACUGUUUACACUUUGCUAUUUGUUCGUGGUAUGAAUGACGUGCAGGUCUAGUGGCUGUUUGCACAAAAAUGCAGUCUAGCAAUCAAUGAUCACAAUCCUUUAAAAUAAAUGCGAGUAACAGGGAAUUUAAACCUUUCAAUGACAAUUAAAGAGAAAGAAAUUAUAGAAGCACUUUGUGCUAAAUUUGCAGGCAUUUAGCACUUCAAGAAACUGGUGGUAUGAAUAUUAAACAUUUUUAAAGUCACUCCCAUUAUUCUAUUUUCCUUUGCAACAGUUUUCAAUGGAAAUGAAGCAUGUACAUAAGACUCGCAUUACAAGCAGUGUGCUGUUAUUGAAUUAUUGUGUGCAGUGUGUGGCAAUGCUGCAGUUGAUAGGACUACAAUUGGGCAAUGGAUAAAGACAGUUACAACCUCAGGAUAUGCAGAAAUAGAGCUCUGUGAUCAGCCAUGCUCGAGAUGUCCUGUCACAACCACUGCUCCAGACAUACUGAAUUGCACAGAUGCCACCUGGCACAUCAUAACUCCACAAUUGAGUCUACAGUUUUCUGUCAGCAUUGGAAGUGGUUCUGCAAUGAUUGAGACUCUUGGAUUUUCAAAGUGAUGCUCACAGCGAACCAUAAGAUUCAAAGAAAGGCCAUUUCAUCUGAAUUGUUCGAGUGUUUUGAGACAGAUGGAGAGGACUUUCUGUCACGGAUCGUUAUGGGGUACCAAAGUUGGUACACCGCUUUCCACCGGAAACAAAAAGGCAGUCCUUGGAGUGGCAUCAUCCUCAUUCACCACAAAAGAAGAAAUUCAAGACAACCUCCCUGCUGCCAGAAAAGUCAUGGUGACAGUCUUCUGGGAUUGUUGUGUCAUUCUCAUGGAUGUGAUGUCAAAAUGGUCAACAAUCAAUUCUGAGGCCUACAUGAAGACUCUCAAGAACCGUUUCUGCCAUGUUCAACUGAACAAGAAUCCAGCAGGAAAUCUUGCUCCAACACGAUAAUGCAUGCCCACACACAAUUCUGAGAACCUGGGAACACAUCGCCAAAUUGGGUUGGACAUCACUGCCUCAUCCACCCCACAGUCCAGACCUGGCACCCUCGGACUUCCAUCUCUUUGGGCCACUUAAAGAAUCUCUAUGGGGUACAUACUUUGAAGAUGACAAAGAGUGUCAGUCAAGCAAUGAAAACAUGGCUAUGCCUACAGGACAAGAGCUUAUACCAGCAGGGAAUAUGUGCUCUUCCACAGCAUUGGCGUAUAGCAAUACAACGUGAUGAAGACUAUGUAGAAAAAUAGUACAUGGACAAGACAUGUUGAUGUAUAUUGUCACCAAAUUCUGACUCUUAACAAUAAAUAUGUUCCGAGAAAAAAAAGUGGGGUAUUACUUUCUCAAGGACCGUUGUAUUGUGUCAAGGAGGCACACCUGGGACGAUUUUUUAACUUUGAUCUCCCAACUGUUGAAUUUAUGAAGAAAAACAGAGUGCAAGAACAAAAAUUAGGACAUCUGUAGUGGAUAGCAGACUUCAUAUUUUAAGUAGACUUGCCCACUCUAAGACACUGGGCGGUAACUUCCUCCUGAUUUGAUGGGGAUGCAUUUAAAAAGAAAAUCGCUUUGUAGAAGCAAUCCAGUUUCCUAAGCUCACUGGCAUUAAAGAAAGUGCAAGGUUUGAUGAAUUCAUUGUGGCUUUGAAAGAAUUACAACAGUUUUAUAAAGGGUUUGGUGACAAUGACAAUCUUACAUCUGUUUUCAAGAGCAUUUGCUGUUUCAACUGAAAGUGCCCCUUUGCAUGUGCAGAUGUAACUGUCCAGGACGUCUUCAUUUUACAAGUCUCCAUAAUGAGGUUGCAAAACUGCUACAAUAUUUCAAUCAACAUUUGUGUUAAAGGUCAUUUUUUGAUUAUGAAGCUAAAUAAGUCAUGAUUAGAUGGCAACUUGAGUGCAAACCUCUAAAGUGUCUGCGCCUGUACCAGAUAAAAUUAUACAU